GACCUCUAAAAGCUUGUGUGCCAGCUAAAAUCUCUAAUUAGCCCUCAUCUAACAUAGGCACUGCUACACGGUUGGUUUGAGGAAAACUGUUCUUAUGACGUUGGGGCUGAGGUGCGUCAGCCGGAAUAACUGCAAAUCUUGAGAGGGGAGCUUGACAGGCUGGCUUUCUGAAGUUGCUGAAAUUGUAGAAAGUCAAAGAUUUAUCCUUCCAAUACCCGUUACCGUGCUGGUUUUGGGAACGACUUUAGGAGCCUUUAGGGCUCUGAACCUUAAUCUCCGCAUCUGCAAAACGGAUUAGGCGCCUGCAAUUCUGAGGGCGCAGGAACACAGGGUUCGCACUCGCAGGACCCCCCCGCCCCUCCGGCGUGUGCGCAGUCAUCCAGUCAGGGCCGGGCCGAAGCGGAGCCUGGACCCGGGCAGUUAGUUCGCAGGAAGUGCUGUAGGGUAGGGAGGGGAGACUGAGGGCGGAGGCGGGAAUGUGAAAGCCGAGCCCUAGCAGCGGAGUUCACAUGAAGCUCCGGAGAGGCGGGGCGAAACUAGGGUGAAGGGGUUAGGCAGUGGACGGGCUAGACCCGCCACCUCCCCCGAAGAGAGAGCGCUGGGUGCGGGGGACGCUCUGAAGAACUUGUUUUUGCACGGAAUGCAAUAAUUUAAGGCUCGGAAUUUAUGUUGGCUGCUCUGAUAUUCCUUGCUGAAAACCUACCUUCUUACAUAUGUUACUUCCAACAAAAAGCUGAUACCUUACGUGCUGUUGAUCUCAGAAAAGAAAUACAUGUGGGAAAAGAAGCGAAUUUCUCAUUGCCAUUGAAGUGUCGUGACCACCUGUCGUGGGAUUUGCCUGCCAUCUGCUGUCCGAGUGAGGAACAACAGCAGAGAAGUGGGAGGAAGGAGGAUUUCCUAGGAAUAGAACCCAGGGCCUCACGCAUAUUAGUCCCUCCACACCCUCUGAGGAUGGUUUGCAGAUGAAGGAAAGUGGGUUUAGAGAGGCCAAGCGACUUGCCCAGGUAUGCGCUGCUGGUGAUGGCUCGUCUCCCGAUGUGACAGCACUUGGGCCUUCUCAUUGAGCCCCCUGCUUAGUCCUCAAGUGAUGAGGAUUCCUAGAUGAAACCACUUCUCUCCAGCCUCUGGAUGUUGUCUCCUGGUCCCCAAAACGGGAAGAGAGAGAGGACACAAGAACUAAAGGAUUGGAGUCUGCGCUCUGGAAGGAAGGAGGGGCUGAGCCAACACACGUCAGACACUCACUUCCUUCAAGCCCUGAGCUAUUGCAUCACUGUAUUUUACCUGCACCAACAAGCAUGCUUUACUAUUCA